GGAACUUCUACGCUGAUGGGUCUCAACGAACGUAUUCCUUCUACUUGACGUGAUAACUGAAGAGCGCGUUGAGUUAUCUGUUCAAUCUUUGACUGUUGAUCCUGUACAAGGGCAGUUAAUUCUUCCUUCUCCUUAGUGGCGGUUUCGUCGUUACAGCCAGCAGUGACUCCAAUCCAACAAGACUGAACAUGUUUAGGGGCCGCGCGAGAUAUGAUUGCGCGUCAUGAAAAUGAUAGUGCGUGGAACAGAACAGAAUGCGGGUGCAUCAUGGCGGGGGCGUCAGGCCCAAGGCACCCUAAUAAGGCGUGUGGCGUCGCUGAGCGUUCCCGCUUCCGGUGCUCGAUUUUAAAUUGUUUAUAAUUUUGUUCUUGAUAUUAUACGUGUUACAAAAACUCUAAUAAUUGAUUUAAUGUAGUGAGGUGAAGGUAAAAGGAACACGCCUUUAUCGACAGUUGUAAUCCUUUUUACCGACAAUCUGCAUUACCAUCACCCCACAGGCGCUGCGGCGGUCGUCGAGGUCGAUAAAGAAGAAAUUAAUCAUUUUCAGUCAUUUAUUUUUAUA